rnacentral:tRNA from 1 species
UGGUCUGUCGGCAGGGCCCGCCUGACUUUGAAUCAGGAUGAGCGACGCAGGUUCGACUCCUGCC